UGAGGAAUAUUGGUCAAUGGACGAGAGUCUGAACCAGCCAAGUAGCGUGAAGGAUGACUGCCCUAUGGGUUGUAAACUUCUUUUAUACGGGAAUAAAGUGAGGCACGUGUGCCUUUUUGUAUGUACCGUAUGAAUAAGGAUCGGCUAACUCCGUGCCAGCAGCCGCGGUAAUACGGAGGAUCCAAGCGUUAUCCGGAUUUAUUGGGUUUAAAGGGAGCGUAGGCGGAUUAUUAAGUCAGUUGUGAAAGUUUGCGGCUCAACCGUAAAAUUGCAGUUGAUACUGGUAGUCUUGAGUGCAGCAGAGGUAGGCGGAAUUCGUGGUGUAGCGGUGAAAUGCUUAGAUAUCACGAAGAACUCCGAUUGCGAAGGCAGCUUACUGGACUGUAACUGACGCUGAUGCUCGAAAGUGUGGGUAUCAAACAGGAUUAGAUACCCUGGUAGUCCACACAGUAAACGAUGAAUACUCGCUGUUUGCGAUAUACAGUAAGCGGCCAAGCGAAAGCAUUAAGUAUUCCACCUGGGGAGUACGCCGGCAACGGUGAAACUCAAAGGAAUUGACGGGGGCCCGCACAAGCGGAGGAACAUGUGGUUUAAUUCGAUGAUACGCGAGGAACCUUACCCGGGCUUAAAUUGCAUUUGAAUAAUCUGGAAACAGGUUAGCCGCAAGGCAAAUGUGAAGGUGCUGCAUGGUUGUCGUCAGCUCGUGCCGUGAGGUGUCGGCUUAAGUGCCAUAACGAGCGCAACCCUUAUCUUUAGUUACUAACAGGUCAUGCUGAGGACUCUAGAGAGACUGCCGUCGUAAGAUGUGAGGAAGGUGGGGAUGACGUCAAAUCAGCACGGCCCUUACGUCCGGGGCUACACACGUGUUACAAUGGGGGGUACAGAAGGCAGCUACCUGGCGACAGGAUGCUAAUCCCAAAAACCUCUCUCAGUUCGGAUCGAAGUCUGCAACCCGACUUCGUGAAGCUGGAUUCGCUAGUAAUCGCGCAUCAGCCAUGGCGCGGUGAAUACGUUCCC
rnacentral:rRNA from 1 species